AUGGUGCAGAAGUAUGACAUUGGUGAUGUUAACUAUUUUAAGAUUAUGUGGAAACAGAGGAGAAGGUGGGCACCUGUCUACUUCAAGACAUAUUUCCUCCCACUCUUACAUUCAACAUCAAGGAGCGAAGGCAUGAAUGCCAUAUUCAAGGACAAUGUAGCGUCGACCGACAAUGUGAUUAGUUUCAUGACAGAAUAUGAGAAGAUAUCUGAACGCAUACAAGACAUGGAGAGGGAGCAAGACUCGUUGACAAGGACAACAAAACCAACAUUCUGGGUGCACAAUGAACUUGAGAUUCAGGCAUCGCGAAUGUACAACCGGCAGAUUUUUUACCGGUUUCAGAAACAAAUGAAGUUUGCUGCCCAACUACACGUGGAUGUUGUUGAGAAUGGAUCAAGGUUUGAGGUUUACAAGUCGAGCAUGCUUGCGGAAAAAGAAUUCAGGACACAACGUUACCUUGUACUAGCAAACCUGAAGCAAGAAGAAUUUUCUUGCAUCUGUGGGAAGUUUCAAAAGGAUGGCAUUGUGUGUGCACACAUACUGCAAGUGCUUGUCAAUCUGAACAUGCCUGUCCUACCAGACAAGUAUUAUAUUCAGAGAUGGAAACCAAAAGACAAAAAAUAUGUAAGAGACAAGCAGUUCAACAUUCCCAUGGAACUGACUGAGGCGAGCAGACAUUUGAUGUAUUCACAUCUAUCAACAAUGCUCAGUGAGAUGGCUUCCGAUGGGGUAAGAACGAAUCAAAAGUACUUGUAUGUUGUGAACGAAAGUGAGAGAAUAUUUGCUGGGCUUGAUGAGAUAACCAAGGCAGAUGAGUUGAGGGAGCUUCAAGCAAGAGGAGUCGCUGUGGAAAAUGAACCUCCAAUACAAAUGCAAGAACCCCACCCUGAUGACUAUGACAACCUACAAGACCCAGAUGUUGUUGUAUCUAAAGUUUGA
rnacentral:rRNA from 1 species